UAGGGAAUCUUCCGCAAUGGGCGAAAGCUUGACGGAGCAACGCCGCGUGAGUGAUGAAGGUCUUCGGAUCGUAAAACUCUGUUAUUAGGGAAGAACAAAUGUGUAAGUAACUAUGCACGUCUUGACGGUACCUAAUCAGAAAGCCACGGCUAACUACGUGCCAGCAGCCGCGGUAAUACGUAGGUGGCAAGCGUUAUCCGGAAUUAUUGGGCGUAAAGCGCGCGUAGGCGGUUUUUUAAGUCUGAUGUGAAAGCCCACGGCUCAACCGGGGAGGGUCAUUGGAAACUGGAGAACUAGAGUGCAGAAGAGGAAAGUGGAAUUCCAUGUGUAGCGGUGAAAUGCGCAGAGAUAUGGAGGAACACCAGUGGCGAAGGCGACUUUCUGGUCUGUAACUGACGCUGAUGUGCGAAAGCGUGGGGAUCAAACAGG
rnacentral:rRNA from 1 species